rnacentral:rRNA from 1 species
GACGAACGCUGGCGGCGUGCCUAAUACAUGCAAGUUGAGCGCUGAAGGUUGGUACUUGUACCAACUGGAUGAGCAGCGAACGGGUGAGUAACGCGUGGGGAAUCUGCCUUUGAGCGGGGGACAACAUUUGGAAACGAAUGCUAAUACCGCAUAAAAACUUUAAACACAAGUUUUAAGUUUGAAAGAUGCAAUUGCAUCACUCAAAGAUGAUCCCGCGUUGUAUUAGCUAGUUGGUGAGGUAAAGGCUCACCAAGGCGAGGAUACAUAGCCGACCUGAGAGGGUGAUCGGCCACAUUGGGACUGGGACACGGCCCAAACUCCUACGGGAGGCAGCAGUAGGGAAUCUUCGGCAAUGGACGAAAGUCUGACCGAGCAACGCCGCGUGAGUGAAGAAGGUUUUCGGAUCGUAAAACUCUGUUGGUAGAGAAGAACGUUGGUGAGAGUGGAAAGCUCAUCAAGUGACGGUAACUACCCAGAAAGGGACGGCUAACUACGUG